rnacentral:rRNA from 1 species
UACGAAGGGGGCUAGCGUUGUUCGGAAUUACUGGGCGUAAAGCGCGUGUAGGCGGGUCUUUAAGUCAGGGGUGAAAUGCCAGGGCUCAACCUUGGAACUGCCUUUGAUACUGGAGACCUUGAGUCCGGGAGAGGUGAGUGGAAUUGCGAGUGUAGAGGUGAAAUUCGUAGAUAUUCGCAAGACCACCAGUCGGCGAAGGCGGCUUGCCAGAACGCGCUCGACGGUGAGGGAUGAAAGCUG